rnacentral:lncRNA from 1 species
UAUUACUCAAUUAAUUUUCAACAACUGUAAAAUAAUUGACAAGUCUGAUCACUGGUCUCCGUUUUUGUUUAAAGAGUCUCUUGCUAUACGGAGGCAAAACCCGGAACUAAACCAUGGCGCUAAAGCAUCUAAAGAAUUGAUCAUAUUUCACUGACAUUAAGCUCCGCCUUUCUUCUCUUUAUAUAUAGCUGUAUUUGUAAUCUUACACUAAUCCUGAA